GGGGCGUGCUUAACACAUGCAAGUCGAACGAAGCACUUUAUUACGAUUUCUUCGGAAUGACGAUUUAGUGACUGAGUGGCGGACGGGUGAGUAACGCGUGGGUAACCUGCCUUAUACGGGGGGAUAACAGUUAGAAAUGACUGCUAAUACCGCAUAAGCGCACAGGAUUGCAUGAUCUGGUGUGAAAAACUCCGGUGGUAUAAGAUGGACCCGCGUCUGAUUAGCUGGUUGGUGAGGUAACGGCCCACCAAGGCGACGAUCAGUAGCCGACCUGAGAGGGUGACCGGCCACAUUGGGACUGAGACACGGCCCAAACUCCUACGGGAGGCAGCAGUGGGGAAUAUUGCACAAUGGGGGAAACCCUGAUGCAGCGACGCCGCGUGAGCGAAGAAGUAUUUCGGUAUGUAAAGCUCUAUCAGCAGGGAAGAAAAAAAUGACGGUACCUGACUAAGAAGCCCCGGCUAACUACGUGCCAGCAGCCGCGGUAAUACGUAGGUGGCAAGCGUUGUCCGGAAUUACUGGGUGUAAAGGGAGCGCAGGCGGGUGAUCAAGUCAGCUGUGAAAACUACGGGCUUAACCCGUAGACUGCAGUUGAAACUGUUCAUCUUGAGUGAAGUAGAGGUUGGCGGAAUUCCGAGUGUAGCGGUGAAAUGCGUAGAUAUUCGGAGGAACACCGGUGGCCAAGGCGGCCAACUGGGCUUUAACUGACGCUGAGGCUCGAAAGUGUGGGGAGCAAACAGGAUUCGAUACCCUGGUAGUCCACACUGUAAACGAUGAUUGGUAGGUGUGGGGGGUUUGACCCCUUCCGUGCCGGAGCUAACGCAAUAAGCAAUCCACCUGGGGAGUACGACCGCAAGGUUGAAACUCAAAGGAAUUGACGGGGACCCGCACAAGCAGUGGAUUAUGUGGUUUAAUUCGAAGCAACGCGAAGAACCUUACCAGCACUUGACAUCCAACUAACGAAAUAGAGAUAUAUUAGGUGCCCUUCGGGGAAAGUUGAGACAGGUGGUGCAUGGUUGUCGUCAGCUCGUGUCGUGAGAUGUUGGGUUAAGUCCCGCAACGAGCGCAACCCUCGCCAUUAGUUGCUACGCAAGAGCACUCUAAUGGGACCGCUACCGACAAGGUGGAGGAAGGUGGGGACGACGUCAAAUCAUCAUGCCCCUUAUGUGCUGGGCUACACACGUAAUACAAUGGCCAUCAACAGAGAGAAGCAAUACCGCGAGGUGGAGCAAAACUUCAAAAAUGGUCUCAGUUCGGACUGCAGGCUGCAACCCGCCUGCACGAAGUUGGAAUUGCUAGUAAUCGUGGAUCAGCAUGCCACGGUGAAUACGUUCCCGGGUCUUGCACA
rnacentral:rRNA from 1 species